rnacentral:rRNA from 1 species
GUGGGGAAUAUUGCACAAUGGGCGCAAGCCUGAUGCAGCAACGCCGCGUGAGGGACGACGGCCUUCGGGUUGUAAACCUCUUUUAGCAGGGAAGAAGCGAAAGUGACGGUACCUGCAGAAAAAGCACCGGCUAACUACGUGCCAGCAGCCGCGGUAAUACGUAGGGUGCAAGCGUUGUCCGGAAUUAUUGGGCGUAAAGAGCUCGUAGGCGGUUUGUCGCGUCUGCUGUGAAAACCCGAGGCUCAACCUCGGGCCUGCAGUGGGUACGGGCAGACUAGAGUGCGGUAGGGGAGAUUGGAAUUCCUGGUGUAGCGGUGGAAUGCGCAGAUAUCAGGAGGAACACCGAUGGCGAAGGCAGAUCUCUGGGCCGUAACUGACGCUGAGGAGCGAAAGCGUGGGGAGCGAACAGGAUUAGAUACCCCUGUAGUCC